UCCUACCUUCUGUCUUUAUGUUCCCUCGGUGUUUAUGCAGUGUUGUCACCUGUCUAAUGAAAUCACAGGGACCCUGGUGACUUAGCUGCAGCCCACACACGGCCCCCGUGUGCACCCCGUCCUGGCCCCGCAAUCACCCAUCCACUAGACUGCCGUGUCUUUAGGUCUCUGGCAUUCCUAUGGUCAAGUUUAUACCUAACACACCGCCGACGCUUGUGUCCCUGUUCUGAUUUUAUUGAAGACCUGGAAGGAAGUUCUCAGGACCCGUUUCUCUCCCUCUGGCUCCCUUCAGGGCCACCUGGAUUGUGGCUCGUGGGUCACUUCGUGGGGACCCCCCGGACCCUGUUUUUACUAGGUGCCUGCUUUGGUUACAUGUCUGUGCCCUUCUGGACUCAGAGCUCUGGGGUCAGGACUGUGUCUGCCUGGGUCACCCCGUGUCCCAGGGCCCAGCCUCAUCAGGAGAACGCACAGCAAAGCCACAGUGCGACCCUACUUCACACCCACUCUGAUGGCUGGAACCGAAGGACAGACGGUGACUGUUGGCAAGGAUGUGCUCUUACACGCUGCGGGUAGGAUGUAGCACGGUGCAGCCAGUGUGGAGAACCUUCUGGCAGCUCCACGUAAAGCUAAAAAUAAAGUUGCCAUAUAACCUUAGUUCUACUUCCAGACAUAGACACAAGAGAAAUGUCAGCAUACGCGUGACACAGAUGCUCACAGCAGCACCAUUAGCAAUAGCUAAGAGGCGGCAGCAGCCCAGCAGCCACCAGUAGACGAACGCACCAACAGCAUGUGGUCCCUCCAUUCGGUGGACUGAUUUCAGCCGUAAGGGAGGAGGCACUGAGAGGCACUGGAACGUGGGUGAACCUUGGGAACUUCAUAGAUCUUUCCUCUGCGAGGGGCUGAGAGGCGGCCUUGCGGCAUGGACACUGGCACAGGGGAGAGGCGGGCGGGCGGGAGGUGCACUGGCCAAGCACUGAGGUUCUGGCCUCCUCCCCACGGAUGGUUCCCAGGAAGCCCCGUGACACACACAGCCUCUGAGAAGGUUGGUCUCCCUUCUGCUUGACUGCUGUGGUUCUGGACCAGGCGUGCCGCUCGGG